rnacentral:rRNA from 1 species
AUUGAACGCUGGCGGCAGGCUUAACACAUGCAAGUCGAGCGGAGAGAGGUAGCUUGCUACUGAUCUUAGCGGCGGACGGGUGAGUAAUGCUUAGGAAUCUGCCUAUUAGUGGGGGACAACAUUUCGAAAGGAAUGCUAAUACCGCAUACGUCCUACGGGAGAAAGCAGGGGAUCUUCGGACCUUGCGCUAAUAGAUGAGCCUAAGUCGGAUUAGCUAGUUGGUGGGGUAAAGGCCUACCAAGGCGACGAUCUGUAGCGGGUCUGAGAGGAUGAUCCGCCACACUGGGACUGAGACACGGCCCAGACUCCUACGGGAGGCAGCAGUGGGGAAUAUUGGACAAUGGGCGGAAGCCUGAUCCAGCCAUGCCGCGUGUGUGAAGAGGGCCUUAUGGUUGUAAAGCACUCUAAGCGAGGAGGAGGCUACUUUAGUUAAUACCUAGAGAUAGUGGACGUUACUCGCAGAAUAAGCACCGGCUAACUCUGUGCCAGCCGCCGCGGUAAAAC